rnacentral:ncRNA from 2 species
UUUCAUUGAGGAAGCGAUGAACAGUCAUUCUUAACUGGGCACUUUAAUGGCUGGGAGCGAGUAGUGCAACCGACCCGAUCAUG